CACGCUGGCGGCGUGCCUAACACAUGCAAGUCGAACGAGAAAGUGGAGCAAUCCAUGAGUAAAGUGGCGACCGGGUGAGUAACACGUGACUAACCUACCCUCGAGUGGGGAAUAACUCCGGGAAACCGGGGCUAAUACCGCAUAACAUCGCAAGAUCAAAGCAGCAAUGCGCUUGAGGAGGGGGUCGCGGCUGAUUAGCUAGUUGGCGGGGUAACGGCCCACCAAGGCGAAGAUCGGUAUCCGGCCUGAGAGGGCGCACGGACACACUGGAACUGAAACACGGUCCAGACUCCUACGGGAGGCAGCAGUGGGGAAUUUUGCGCAAUGGGGGAAACCCUGACGCAGCAACGCCGCGUGGAGGAUGAAGCCCUUUGGGGCGUAAACUCCUUUCGACCAAGACGAUAAUGACGGUACUGGUGGAAGAAGCACCGGCUAACUCUGUGCCAGCAGCCGCGGUAAUACAGAGGGUGCAAGCGUUGUUCGGAAUUAUUGGGCGUAAAGGGCGCGUA
rnacentral:rRNA from 1 species